CGUUUNUCGUAGGGGUAACCUGCGGAGGGAUCAUUACACAAAUAUGAAGGCGGGCUGGAACCUCUCGGGGUUACAGCCUUGCUGAAUUAUUCACCCUUGUCUUUUGCGUACUUCUUGUUUCCUUGGUGGGUUCGCCCACCACUAGGACAAACAUAAACCUUUUGUAAUUGCAAUCAGCGUCAGUAACAAAUUAAUAAUUACAACUUUCAACAACGGAUCUCUUGGUUCUGGCAUCGAUGAAGAACGCAGCGAAAUGCGAUAAGUAGUGUGAAUUGCAGAAUUCAGUGAAUCAUCGAAUCUUUGAACGCACAUUGCGCCCUUUGGUAUUCCAAAGGGCAUGCCUGUUCGAGCGUCAUUUGUACCCUCAAGCUUUGCUUGGUGUUGGGCGUCUUGUCUCUAGCUUUGCUGGAGACUCGCCUUAAAGUAAUUGGCAGCCGGCCUACUGGUUUCGGAGCGCAGCACAAGUCGCACUCUCUAUCAGCAAAGGUCUAGCAUCCAUUAAGCCUUUUUUUCAACUUUUGACCUCGGAUCAGGUAGGGAUACCCGCUGAACUUAAGCAUAUCAUAAGCGGGAGGGAACU
rnacentral:rRNA from 1 species